GUUGUUUUUACAAAGAUAAAUUACAUUGAAUUAAAAAGGCCAAAAAUUUAACUGACAGAAAAAUGUAAACAAUUACAAACAAUGUACAUGUUCUAAAGGUAUACAUAUUUUGCCUUGCAAAAGUCUGCCUUGAGUCACAAGCCCAAUGUCUGAGUCUGGUACAUGCAAAUUUAAAAUAGAUACAAAUUUAGUAAAAUAAUUUUUGAGGGUCUUAUGAAGGAAAAAUGUGGAAAUUUCUGGUGGCCGUGCUGAAAGCAUUAAUAUGUGCCCCACUGUUUUAGGGUUUGUAUGACCAAAUGAUUUAUUGUCUGACAUUUUGAGGGUCACACAAAGUUUGUGAUACAUUGCUGAAAGGCUUCAAAGCAAAAAAAAAUAUAAAAGCCUUUCAAUACCUCAUAAUUAUUUGGACUAACAACAAGCGUCAUCG
rnacentral:lncRNA from 1 species